UGGGAACGCACUCGGUUGAUGGUACCCAA
rnacentral:piRNA from 1 species